GGCCCAGGACUCAAUGCUCCUGAUUAGGCAAGAGCUGGCAGCUGGUGGAGAGCUGAGUCCCUUUUCUAGAAGUAGAGUCCUACCUUUUCCUCCCCUCUCCCCUAGUGUAUCCUUUGCAGACCCUCGGACCUGGACACCGUUUGGUGCGCUUCUGUGGGCACAUUCCCCUACUGAUUCAUGCAUCUGUCAACUGAAGUAUCACGCCGCUGGUUGUAGGCCCUUUCAGCUGUGCUCUCUUCCUGAAGCCAUCUGUCGUGUCAACUAGUCAUGGAUAAAGAAGCCUCUGAGGUCAGUCCCAGCCCACCUACAGUGACCAUCAAGAAGAAAGAUAAAAGUGCAAGAUCCGAAAAGUUCUCCAAAAAUGUUCUGAUCUUUUUACUGGGGAGGCAGCUGGGGAGGCACAGGAGUGACGUGGACCUGUCAAAGUGGCUGUGGAUGCUGACAUGAGCUGCCCCAGGGUGGAGCUGGCCAUGGCCAGUGAGUCCUAAAACCUACCUGCUCAUGCCUGUCUGUAACUUUAGAAAAAAAUAAAAACAAGUAACAAACUCC
rnacentral:lncRNA from 1 species